CUGAAAAGAUACAGACCUACACCGAAAUCUUGAUCUUUUCUGUGAUUCUAAGAGCUCAAAAGUGUUGUAAAGCCUUUAAGUCUCCUCCUUCUGUUCUUCAAGUUUUCAGUUGUAAAGUGAGGAGAGAAAGGUCUGUAAAGGUUGUCUCCUGAGCCUGUCGAAAGGAGAGAAACUGUAAAAGGGCAGUUUGGCCUUCGCCUAUUGAAGGAAGGCCCCUAGUUGACGUCGGUGACCUCGUCGGUGGAGGAAGCCAAAAGUGGAGUAGGUCAAGACUGACCGAACCACUCUAAAUCUCUGGUUUGCGUUUAUUUUUGAGCACUUUAUCCUUACUGCAAACCUCCAUUACUACUGCUCUCUGCGUUUUUACGAACAAGUUCUAAGUGCUGUUCUUUCCGAAUCUGCAUUCAGACGUAAAUCGGUGUUUU
rnacentral:lncRNA from 1 species